AAACAACUCUCAGCAACGGAUAUCUUGGCUCUUGCAACGAUGAAGAACGCAGCGGAAUGCGAUACGUAGUGUGAAUUGCAGAGUUCCGCGAAUCAUCGAGUCUUUGAACGCAAGUUGCGCCCGAGGCUUGUCCGAGGGCAUUUCCGCUAGAGCGUCACC
rnacentral:rRNA from 1 species